UACGAAGGGGGCUAGCGUUGCUCGGAAUUACUGGGCGUAAAGCGCACGUAGGCGGGUCGUUAAGUCAGGGGUGAAAUCCCAGAGCUCAACUCUGGAACUGCCUUUGAUACUGGCGACCUAGAGUUCGGAAGAGGUUAGUGGAAUUCCCAGUGUAGAGGUGAAAUUCGUAGAUAUUGGGAAGAACACCAGUGGCGAAGGCGGCUAACUGGUCCGAUACUGACGCUGAGGUGCGAAAGCGUGGGGAGCAAACAGG
rnacentral:rRNA from 1 species